GACAGACGGACAAUGGUAUUGGUUAACCAGUGGCGACGUUGUUUACACUGCUCUAAUCAGUGCAUGCCCUCUCAGUCCGAGGCGUGACGUCAUCUGCUGGCGGGUGCUUGCUUGCAUCUUUGGUCCUCGUUUCGACGCCCGAGAAUUGACAAUAUCUUACAAAAAAAAUCAAUUUCGAAAGCUUUGUGUACAUUUUCUUACCAUGGGUGUACAUGAAAAUUAUGCACGCCGCUGAUAAAAAGCUUAUUUAAGUUGAAAAGCUGUUCAAGGUUUAUUUUACAUUUGUUCCGUUCUCUUUUCUGUUUGUAGUUUCCUUAAGACGUUUUAGGGACAAGUUUGGCGCAUUACAGAAUAGUUUUUUCUCAUCCGUCUCCAAGUAUUUUAUAGAAAACCCCUUUUCCAAACCAGGGUGGAGUUUAGGCAGCACUAGCCAUACUUGUGAUGUGGAUGCUAACGUGUGUUGCAUAGCAUUUUAGGGCGGGUACAGACUAGAACAUUUCAACGGACAGAACAUUGUUCGCGAACAUGUUUGCAACCAAUGUGGACGGGAAAACGAACAUUUCCCCGUAACAAAAAAUGUUCGGUUGUUUGUUCGGUUGCGAUCCGAUAUUUGUCGGUUUUUGCCCGUCACAUCAAAGGAUGUUCGCCGUGGCUCGGAUAACAGUCUGGACGUCGCUGCGAACACUUCCUGCGAACGUUCAGUUGUCGACGUGGAGCGGUGUUGUCUUCACGGAGUUAGUAGCGGUGCGUGACUCUUUUGUUAUAUGAGAAUGGAGUGGUCCAAGGAAGAUCAAAUAAAACUGAUAGAUUUGUAUAAACAACAAACAGUGAUAUGGGACCCAAACAAUGUUAAUCAUUUCAACAAAAUUAGAAAACAAGACGCGUGGGAAGAAAUCGGGGCCGAAAUGGACAGAGAUGUGGACGAAUGUAAGAAGAAAAUGGAGAGUUUGCUAUCAGCAUUAAGAAGGGAGAGGAAGAAAAUGAAAGACACUGCUGGAACUGGAAAAGGAACUGACGAAAUGUACAGAAGUUCCUGGUUCGCUUUCGAAAGUCUACGUUUCUUGCUGGACAAAAAUAAACCAAGAAAGACAAUUUCGACGAUGCGAGUAGAAAGCGAAGAGAGAGACGUAGAAUGUGGUGCAGUUGGAGAAUCAGCACAGGAAACUGUACCGAAAAAGAAGAAGCAGCGAGUCGAAGAUGCACGUCUGGACAAAGCCUUUCAUAUAUUGUCGUCCACCGCGAGUCAGCUUAACGAUGAGUGCCAACAUUUUGGAAAUUUGGUCGCAUCUAAGUUGAGACAGUACAACGUUGAUACUAGAUGUACAAUUGAAAAUGACAUUAUGGGUAUUUUCCUUCGCGCUAACAGGGGUUUCUACAAUAACACUCAGAAUUUUAUACAACCACACUAUCCAUGUCAUUUUCCAUCGGACAACUCUGUCAUGCAGUCAAACACUGUAUUGUCCAACCCUACAACCCCGUGUCCUUCAGCAGGAUCACCUACCUUGACGUCUGAUGAUGAUGAUUUCAUUAUUCACGAUCUCUUAUAAAAUAUUUUUGUUUUAAUUACAGUGCUCCUAAUGAUUUGUAACACAGUGUAAACAACUUUGUCAUUUCUUAUAAAUAAAUGUAGAAAAUUACGUUAAUAAAUCUUUCAAUUACACAGUACCGCAGAAUAAGUCAAUACUUACCUUAAUGUAAUCCUCAAGUCCUUCGAUGAGAGCAGAACACACUUCAGGAAUAACUGUGCUGAUAGUCUGUUUUGAAAUUUUAAAUACAUACUGAAGGCUGGUAUACGAAUCACCAGUUGCUAAAAAACGUAAUGUCAAUGCCAGUCUUUCUGUAAUUGGAAUUGCUUUUCUGAACGACGUAUCUCUCUUACCAAUUUUCGCUCCUAUCAAAUUGAUCAACCACUCAAAAUCUGAUGGGUGCAUUCUUGUAAAGUUCUUGUAAAGACCACUGACUGACUGACUGAAAACUUAACUCUGCCAACAAGUUCGAGCCACUAUAUGUUGUCCUACUUUCAUACAGUUUUGUAAUCCACCAACGGCGAGAUUUCCUUCGCUUUUUAACCGCAUAGUGAAUGUAAAUAUAUACAGCUGCUGCUACUUGCGCCUGUGUACUCAUCGUGCCACUGCUAAGUACGGAAUGGGUCACAGGGAACACACCUCGAACAAUGUUCGCAAACAAUGUUCUUUCGAAAUCUGAACACUGUUCGUAAAAUGUGUCGAACACUGUUCGCUGUUCUGUUCGCUAAAAUGUUCUAGUCUGUACCCGCCUUUACGUACUCCUCUAUCGUCGUUACGUAUUAUUUACGGUUAUCCAGUGUUAUUUUAGAAAUUUUGUAUGUACUAAUGGUGCAAUUAAAUCUCGGUGACUACAUAAGCCGGCUCUUUGGACAGUCCUGUUUGAUUUUUUCGGAGGCAAGCAUGCAAUGUCAGUGUUUUUUUUUUUUUGUUUUGGGGAGGGGGGAAUCUGGCUUGAGAACACUGUCGCUGCGCUGUUGUCACACACGUUCAGGCAAAGCCAUAGCACGAAGGGAAGCCUUCAUUUCACAGAUGAGAGGGCCACACCCGAAGUUCAUGUUUGCUUUUUUUUUUCCGUUCUAUCUUAACAGUAAUUAUAGCAGAAUUUAGUUUAUUUACGAACUUAAACUUAUAUACCAUUUUCUGGAAUUUUUUAGCUCAUCUCCAUUCUGUAAGGCUAGCUGCUCUGUACAUUACAUGUGAAUAUACAGGGAAAAAUUUUUUCCUCGUCAAAAUGGAAUUUAAAAUCACUCCCGUUUUAUUAUCAAACGAUAAUUUUCACAAUUCAUGGCCGAUAAUCACUUUAUAACAUUUGUUAUUUGAUAACUGCAACACUGCACGAGUAAACAGAAGUAAGAAAGAGAAAGAAGUAUUUAAACGUUACACAUUCGUAUUUAAGUUAAUAAGGAAGCAAACACGUCUCUUUAAUACCUAAUCAAGCGGCAUAUUUUAAUUAAAUAAUUCACUGCCAAAAUACUGAUUAUACUAAAUAUAAGCCGAGAAAUGUAUGUGGUUCAAUUAGCUGUAGGAUAAAUUUUAUAGUUUUAUCUCCGAGAUGUUUCAUUUGUGUCAUUAAGUUGUUUUUUCUUUUUUACCUGGUUGAUGCCUUUACUAAAUAAAAUAGUUUUUAAGGGUUUUAAUAUGAUUCGAUCGUUCAUUUGAUGUUGAUCUGUUUAUUAGCUUUGACGCUUUGGGUUUUUAGGGCGCAUCAAAAACUGUGAACAAAAAAAUUCACGAACAGCAUUUGAAUCGCAGUAAUUAUGUGAUGUGGCAUAAAAAAAACCGACACAGUGUGAGUCGAACUCGCGCACGAAGGGUCAUACCAUUAUCUAUAAAAACGGCAAAAAAAACAUGUCUGUUGUAUGGGAGUCCCACUUAAAUAUUUAUUUUAUUUUGUUUUAGUAUUUCUUGUUAUAGCGGCAACAGA